UGGGGAAUAUUGCACAAUGGAGGGAACUCUGAUGCAGCGACGCCGCGUGAACGAAGAAGGCUUUCGAGUCGUAAAGUUCUUUUAUAUGGGAAGAUAAUGACGGUACCAUAAGAAAAAGCCCCGGCUAACUACGUGCCAGCAGCCGCGGUAAUACGUAGGGGGCUAGCGUUGUCCGGAAUCACUGGGCGUAAAGGGUUCGCAGGCGGAAAUGCAAGUCAGGUGUAAAAGGCAGUAGCUUAACUACUGUAAGCAUUUGAAACUGCAUAUCUUGAGAAGAGUAGAGGUAAGUGGAAUUUUUAGUGUAGCGGUGAAAUGCGUAGAUAUAUGGAGGAACACCAGUGGCGAAGGCGACUCUCUGGUCUGUAACUGACGCUGAGGCUCGAAAGCGUGGGUAGCAAACAGG
rnacentral:rRNA from 1 species